rnacentral:rRNA from 1 species
UACGUAGGGUGCAAGCGUUGUCCGGAAUUAUUGGGCGUAAAGAGCUCGUAGGCGGUUUGUCGCGUCUGCUGUGAAAACUGGAGGCUCAACCCCAGCCUGCAGUGGGUACGGGCAGACUAGAGUGCGGUAGGGGAGAUUGGAAUUCCUGGUGUAGCGGUGGAAUGCGCAGAUAUCAGGAAGAACACCAAUGGCGAAAGCAGCUUUCUGGGACGGUACUGACGCUGAGACGCGAAAGCGUGGGGAGCGAACAGG